ensembl:snoRNA
ACAUGGCUGAAUACUGUGUUCUUUUUGUCAGUAGUUAACACAGCCAGACACCAUGCAAAAGUAAAGUUUUCCCUUUAAAAUGGUAUGAUGGUAUGCUAAGUUUUUUCAUAGCAUGCUGUUGUUAAAAAGGGGAUACAAAU